AAAGUACUCCCUCCAUCCCAAAAUUCUCGUCUUAGAUUUGUCUAGAUACGGAUGUAUCAAGUCACAUUUUAGUAUUAGAUACAUACGUAUCUAGACAAAUCUAAGACAAGAAAUUUGGGACAGAGGGGUUAGUUG
rfam:Triticum urartu cultivar G1812 contig1189685, whole genome shotgun sequence.